CUCGCAACCUAGUGUAGUAUGAAUGUCUCUUCCUCGGUACAUUUAUAUUCAUCAAUAAACAUGCAAUAACCCUCUAUUCCUAUCAAUAUUAUUACACUUUGAGCUGAUGAAUAUGCACAGUGUCUUAACUACCCCUGCAAAGAACUUUUGGAAGCAAAAGUUUAUUAUAUCAAGUGACUGAUCCAUUAUUAUUGUACACAGCAACCCUCCACCAAGGUUAUCAUGAUAGGCAAUGUAAGUUCUGAAAUAUCUUAUCAAUAUGAAUAUUUACACCCUAAAAUACAUGAACUACUGCAU
rnacentral:lncRNA from 1 species